GACGAACGCUGGCGGCGUGCUUAAUACAUGCAAGUCGAACGGACAGGCCCUGCUUUUGUGGGGUGCUCGAGUGGCGAACGGGUGAGUAACACAUGAGUAACCCCCACUUGUCUUUGGGAUAACUUCAGGAGACUGCGGCUCAUACCGGAUAGGAGCUCCUGCUGCAUGGUGUGGGAUGGAGAGUUUCGGCGGUUGGGGCUCGACUCGCAGCUUAUCAGCUUGUUGGUGGGGUAGUGGCUUACGAAGGCUUUGAGGGAUAGCCGGCCUGAGAGGGGUGACGGGGACAAGGGGCCUGAGAGAGGGACCAGUAGGCUAUGGGAGGCAGUGGGGGAGAGUAUGGCGCAACGGGCGCAAGCGAGAGGCAGCAACGCCGCGUGCGGGAUGAUGGGUUUCGGGUGAUAAACCGCUUUCGACGGUGACGAAGAGGGAGUGACGGUAAUGGGUAAAGAAGCACCGGCUAACUACGUG
rnacentral:rRNA from 1 species